UUCACGCGACAGAACAUGCUUCCAUAUCGUCUUUCUGUGGCUGGACAAGAGCUCCAGUACUCGAGCUCAUGCAAGUUCCUUGGCGUUACGCUGGACACUCUACUCUCGUGGGGAAGACAUAUAGCGGGCCUAGAAGCGAAACUCUCCAGGGGUAUCGCAGUAGUGGGACACAUUGCUGGCCUUAGGUGAGGCAGCGAUGCGCGAUCUCUCUUGGCCAUUCAUCGUGCCCUGGAUUUCCUGUCAUCAAAAGGCCUCUCUACCCUGCUUUGUUCACCUGAGUCCUCAUCCCCAUCAUCAUCUUUUAUUAUCUACAAAUGGCACUGGGGCACCGCCCAGCCUGCUGGCCGGCAUCAGCUCCAUCUCAUCAAGGGAUCACAAGUAAUGAUUAGCACGGACGUACCACUAGAGCGUGCGACGUGAAGCUGAUGGAGGUUUAGAAGAGAGCGGCUGCCCGGAUAGAGGCUUUGAGGGGGAUCGACAACGGUGUACCCGAAUGCCUGGCAAUCGAACGAUAGCUUCGUCGGUGAAGUCCCAUUCCACCUAUGUUGACGUCUGACUGAUCGACGUUGACUGACCGACGAAGGCCCGACGAAUAGGAACGACAAGACGAACCGACGAGGGCGGCAGUCGAAAUCCAGUGACCCAGACUCCAUGUAUAUAUAUGCAUAUAUAGGACAGAGGCCCACAGCUGGAGUACAUCGCCGUCGCUACCGCUGCACGUGAGUCGUGGACAAGGAGCUGAGACCGGAAGAUCGACGGAAGCCGCUACCGAAAGCCUGAGCUAGGAGAGCCGAAUGUAUGUCACCUCUGGAGUCAUCUUCCAAGUCCGUCAUCCACACGUGUCUGCGGCCUGGGGAAGCCAUCGGUGUCGUCGGGCCCUCGUGUCGUCACGGUCAAUCAGUCAUUUGUGUCCUGCUCGGGUCAGUACCGGGACACUGGGCGCGUCUGUUCCUAUUACUGUGCCCAUCGACGCUACCAUUAUAUUGUGUGUAGAUAUUAAAUUACAUCUGUUAA